rnacentral:rRNA from 1 species
CGGUGGUCCCACCUGACCCCAUGCCGAACUCAGAAGUGAAACGCCGUAGCGCCGAUGGUAGUGUGGGGUCUCCCCAUACGAGAGUAGGGAACUGCCAGGC